AUUGAAUACUAUGCACUUUUCUCAUAGUAAGACAUUGCGAUCCAUUAGUAUACAAUUAUGUUUAAAGUUUAUCAAACGGCCCACUUUGUUUAGUUUAUUCUAUCUGUAGCAAUAUUCAUUUAUUGUUAUAUGAAUAAUAGCAAAAAAUUUGGUGUCCCGAUCAACAGCUGAUGGAGCUUAACAAUCGUGCAGUCCAUGUUUCCAUUAUGUAUCAUUGUUUAUAUAAAUUUUUUAUAUAGAUGUUGUGAUGGCAUGUGUUUGAUUAGCAAUGCGAUAGAUUUGGGAUACCUUCGGGACCCGUCUUGAAACACGGACCAAGAAGUCUAACAUGUGUGCAAGUCAUUGGGUAUAUGUUUAUUGUUGAAACCUAAAGGCGUAAUUAAAAUAACUAUAUAUAUAUAUAUAUAUAUAUAUAUAUAUAUAUAUAUAUAUAUAUAAAUGGGAUUACAAGCAAUAGUAAUAAUAUUGUUUCUCCAUCCCGGGGCGUUCUAUACGAACAUGAUUUAAGCAAUUGAGUCCUCUGUUCAAGAGCGUACCUUGAGCAUACAUGCUGUGACCCGAAAGAUGGUGAACUAUACCUGAUCAGGUUGAAGUCAGGGGAAACCCUGAUGGAGGACUGAAGCAGUUCUGACGUGCAAAUCGAUUGUCAGAAUUGGGUAUAGGGGCGAAAGACCAAUCGAACCAUCUAGUAGCUGGUUCCCUCCGAAGUUUCCCUCAGGAUAGCUGGUGCAAUAAAGAUUCUAAUAUAUAAUCUUAUCUGGUAAAGCGAAUGAUUAGAGGCCUUGGGGCCGAAACGACCUCAACCUAUUCUCAAACUUUAAAUGGGUAAGAACCACAUCUUUCUUGAUCUGAAGAUGCAGUGGUUUAGAUAUAUUGUGCCCAGUGGGCCACUUUUGGUAAGCAGAACUGGCGCUGUGGGAUGAACCAAACGUGAUGUUACGGCGCCUAAAUUAAUGACUCAUAUUGAUACCAUGAAAGGCGUUGGUUGCUUAAAACAGCAGGACGGUGGACAUGGAAGUCGUAAUCCGCUAAGGAGUGUGUAACAACUCACCUGCCGAAGCAACUAGCCCUUAAAAUGGAUGGCGCUCAAGUCAUAUGCCUAUACAUCACCGCUAGAAUAAAUAAUUGAAAAAUAAUAAAUAGAAUUUUUUUUUUGUUUUUAUUUUCAUUGUAAAAUUCUAGUGAGUAGGAGGGUACAAUGGUGUGCGCAGAAGUGUUUGGCGUGAGCCUGCAUGGAGCCGCCAUUGGUACAGAUCUUGGUGGUAGUAGCAAAUAAUCGAAUGAGAUCUUGGAGGACUGAAGUGGAGAAGGGUUUCGUGUGAACAGUGGUUGAUCACGAGUUAGUCGGUCCUAAGCUCUAUGCGAAAGCUGUUUAAUUUAUAUU
rnacentral:rRNA from 1 species